UUCAACGAAAGUACAUGUACAAUUACUUUGAGAAGUAGGAGAAGCUAAGCAACAGGACAGAAUUCAUUUGAGGCAUUGCUUUCUAGAUUAUAUAGUGGAGUCAUAGAUUGUCCUAUUGAUUUAUGUGGAUAUGAGGAGCAGUAGUCAAUGAAUAAUUUUGUGAUGAGAGCUGUACAUUGUAUUACAACAAAUGGACAGAGGAGUUGACUAUUGAUAGUGACUGAUAAUGGACUGGAGUAACCUAGGGUCCAAUGACUCCAUGCCUGACAGUCCAUGUGUACAUAAUUAGCUCCUCAGAUGUAAGUGGAAGGGAAGCUAUAUACAUUAUAUGUUUAAAUGAAAUUAACAACAGGAUAAGAUAUUGAGGAGAUCCUAUAGCUACAGUAUAUAUAAAUGUAACUGCAACUGUAUUCCAAGAGUCUGAUGGCUGAUAAUGUAUUACAGGAUUUUACCAUUCAAGCAACAUCUUAGAAGGAUAAGUGCAAAUGUAUGAAGGAAGCCUUGGGUACAAAUAGCAAUUACAGCAAUUACAUGCAGGAGAGAACUCUUAACAUUACUAACAGACAUGUAGUCAUUAUAUGGGAGUGGUGUAUUCAAGAAAUCUAAAACACAUGGAAUUAAAUAUCGUGUAUAUUUUUUCAACCACAAGUUCUCUCAGAAUAUAAUACAAUUCAAAUUCAAAUUAUUGUGCCAACAUGACAAUUACAGUCUAAAAAUGGAAAAUGCAUGUUUUAAACUGAUUUUUAUAUAAAUAUUUGAAAUAACAAGAA